AUGAACGCUGCCAGAAUGCUUAACACAUGCCAGUCUUUGGCGAAGCUGUGCUUGCACAGCCUAGCCAAGGCGGACGGGUGAGUAACGCGUAAGGAACUUGCCCUGCAGUCAGGGAUAACAGACGGAAACGACUGAUAAGACCUGGUAAAGUCAGGCGGACUCAUGUCCAGCCUGAUGAAAAGAGAUGCUGCAGGAGAGCCUUGCGUCCUAUUAGCUUGUUGGUGGGGUAACGGCCCACCAAGGCGAUGAUAGGUAGCCGGCCUGAGAGGGUGGACGGCCACAAGGGGACUGAGAUACGGCCCUUACUCCUACGGGAGGCAGCAGUGGGGAAUAUUGGACAAUGGGGGCAACCCUGAUCCAGCAAUUCUGUGUGCACGAUGAAGGUUUUCGGAUUGUAAAGUGCUUUCAGCAGGGAAGAAAAAAAUGACGGUACCUGCAGAAGAAGCGACGGCUAAAUACGUG
rnacentral:rRNA from 1 species